rnacentral:rRNA from 1 species
AUUGGACGCUGGCGGCAUGCCUUACACAUGCAAGUCGAACGGCAGCACGGGUGCUUGCACCUGGUGGCGAGUGGCGAACGGGUGGGUAAUAUAUCGGAACGUACCUUAUUGUGGGGGAUAACGCAGCGAAAGCUGUGCUAAUACCGCAUAAUCCCUAAGGGGGAAAGCGGGGGACCGUAAGGCCUCGCGCAAUUAGAGCGGCCGAUACCUGAUUAGCUAGUUGGUGAGGUAAAGGCUCACCAAGGCAACGAUCAGUAGCUGGUCUGAGAGGACGAUCAGCCACACUGGGACUGAGACACGGCCCAGACUCCUACGGGAGGCAGCAGUGGGGAAUUUUGGACAAUGGGGGCAACCCUGAUCCAGCAAUGCCGCGUGAGUGAAGAAGGCCUUCGGGUUGUAAAGCUCUUUUGUCAGGGAAGAAACAGCAGCUCUAACACAGUUUGCGAAUGACGGUACCUGAAGAAUAAGCACCGGCUAACUACGUGCCAGCCGCCGCGGUAA